rnacentral:pre_miRNA from 1 species
AGGAGGAACAACUGCAGUGGCAGGGCCAGCUCUGGGCCCUGGAUUCAGCCCCCGCAGGAACUCCGGAGCUCUCGGUCUGCAGGGCCUGGAGGCUCCGGGGCGGG